rnacentral:rRNA from 1 species
CAAUAGCGUAUAUUAAAGUUGUUGCAGUUAAAAGCUCGUAGUUGGAUUUCGGAGUGGGCCAGUUGGUCCGCCGCAAGGUGUGUUACUGACUGGUUUGCUCUUCUUCGCAAAGACUGCGUGUGCCCUUAAAUGAGUGUGCGUAGGAUUUACGACGUUUACUUUGAAAAAAUUAGAGUGUUCAAAGCAGGCUUAGGCCGUUGGAUACAUUAGCAUGGAAUAAUGAGAUAGGGCCACGACGGUCUAUUUUGUUGGUUUGCACGUUGUGGUAAUGAUUAACAGGAACGGUUGGGGGUAUUCGUAUUCAAUUGUCAGAGGUGAAAUUCUUGGAUUUAUGGAAGACGAACUACUGCGAAAGCAUUUACCAAGGAUGUUUUCAUUAAUCAAGAACGAAAGUUAGGGGAUCGAAGAUGAUUAGAU